UCGAGAAUCUUUCGCAAUGGGCGAAAGCCUGACGAAGCGACGCUGUGUGAGUGAUGAAGGCCUUCGGGUUGUAAAACUCUUUCGCAUGGGAACAAGAAAGACUAGUGAAUAGCUGGUCGAUUUGAGGGUACUAUGUAAAGAAGCACCGGCUAACUCCGUGCCAGCAGCUGCGGUAAUACGGAGGGUGCAAGCAUUAAUCGGAAUGAUUGGGCGUAAAGGGCGCGUAGGUGGGAUAGAAAGUUAGAUGUGAAAUUCUGAAGCUCAACUUCAGAGCUGCAUUUAAAACUCCUAUUCUCGAGGGACGACGGAGAAAACGGAAUUCCACGUGUAGCGGUGAAAUGCGUAGAUAUGUGGAAGAACACCGGUGGCGAAAGCGGUUUUCUAGUUGUUACCUGACACU
rnacentral:rRNA from 1 species